UACGGGGGGGCAAGCGUUGUUCGGAAUUACUGGGCGUAAAGGGCUCGUAGGCGGCCAACUAAGUCAGACGUGAAAUCCCCAGGCUCAACCUGGGAACUGCGUCCGAUACUGGAUGGCUUGAAUCCGGGAGAGGGAUGCAGAAUUCCAGGUGUAGCGGUGAAAUGCGUAGAUAUCUGGAGGAAUACCGGUGGCGAAGGCGGCAUCCUGGACCGGCAUUGACGCUGAGGAGCGAAAGCCAGGGGAGCAAACGGG
rnacentral:rRNA from 1 species